UGGGGAAUAUUGGACAAUGGGCGAAAGCCUGAUCCAGCGACGCCGCGUGGGUGAAGAAGGCCUGCGGGUUGUAAAGCCCUUUCGGUAGGGACGAAAACCUUCGACUUAACACGUCGAGGGAUUGACUUAACCUACAUAAGAAGCACCGGCUAACUCUGUGCCAGCAGCCGCGGUAAUACAGAGGGUGCGAGCGUUAAUCGGAAUUACUGGGCGUAAAGCGCACGUAGGCGGCGACCCAAGUCAGAUGUGAAAGUCCUGGGCUUAACCUGGGGACUGCAUUUGAUACUGGGUUGCUUGAAUUCGGGAGAGGAUAGCGGAAUUCCCAGUGUAGAGGUGAAAUUCGUAGAUAUUGGGAAGAACACCGGUGGCGAAGGCGGCUAUCUGGACCGACAUUGACGCUGAGGCGCGAAAGCGUGGGGAGCAAACAGGAUUAGAUACCC
rnacentral:rRNA from 1 species